GCGGGUGUCGUAUAGUGGCUAUUAUAUCGCCUUGCCAAGGCGGAGACGGGAGUUCGAUUCUCCUCACCCGCUCCA
rnacentral:tRNA from 1 species